AAAAUCUUAAGUUAAUUAAACUAAUAACCUUCAAAGUUGUAUAUAAAAUAUUUAUUUUAGAUUUUA
rnacentral:tRNA from 1 species